GGCGUUGUAGCCAAAGGGAAGGCAAAAGUUUCAUAAACUUAGAAUCCUGGUUCGAAUCCAGGCAACGCCG
rnacentral:tRNA from 1 species